GUUAGAGAGUUGUGCUUCAGGGCAGCUUGUCUCCUUGGCAACCGGGGCCAUGGGGAAGUCGGGCAUUUCUGUCAGUCAAGGCUGCAGAGGAGAAGAUAUCCAUACCAUGUUUGUGACAACAGAGAAGAGAGGAGCUGUAAACCUCUAGUGCAGCAUGAGAGCCAUGAGCAUUCAGCAAUUUACUCCAAAAUAAAGCAGUGGACUGAAGAAAAGGAGAAGAAAAGAAAGCAAAGGUUCUUCAUUUAGUUUUCCAUCCAGACCUCAUGAGGAGGAGAAAUUGGAAACAGAGACAUGUCUCUGGAGACCUGGAGGAAAUUAAAUACUGAAUUCAAUGGGCA